rnacentral:rRNA from 1 species
AGCGAAAGAGGCCAAACCGGAGUGCGUGCACUCCGGGGUUCGGACCGCAUUUAAGAUUCAGUGAUUCUAGCAGAAAGGUUUGGGAAAGCCUGCCGGAGAGGGUGAAAGCCCCGUAAGCGAAAGGAGAGCUGACUGAGCGGGAUCCAGAGUACAUCGAGACACGAGAAACCUUGAUGGAAAGAGCGGGGACCACCCCGUAAGCCUAAAUACUACUUAGUGACCGAUAGCGCAUAGUACUGUGAAGGAAAGGUGAAA